rnacentral:rRNA from 1 species
CCAUCAUUUAAAGAAAGCGUAAUAGCUCACUAGUCGAGUCGGCCUGCGCGGAAGAUGUAACGGGGCUGAAAUAUAGCACCGAAGCUGCGGCAUCAGGCGUAUCACUAAUACGCCUUACGAUUAACAAGCUAGAAUGGCACGAAGCGUCAUGAAAGGUUGUUCAAGCAACCCGAACGUUGAGUCGGCACAUUUUUGAAGUAAGGAUUAUUAGUGAUACGCCUGUUGGGUAGGGGAGCGUUGUGUAAGCGGAAGAAGGUUCAUCGAGAGGUGGGCUGGACGUAUCACAAGUGCGAAUGCUGACAUAAGUAACGAUAAAACGGGUGAAAAACCCGU